rnacentral:rRNA from 1 species
CAUAGCCUUUAGCCCAACAAGUAUUAAAGGUCCUGCCUGCCCAGUGAAUAUAUUAAACGGCCGCGGUAUCCUAACCGUGCAAAGGUAGCGUAAUCACUUGUCCCCUAAAUAGGGACCAGUAUGAACGGCUAAAUGAGGGCCCGCCUGUCUCCUUUGGUCCCCCAAUGAAACUGAUCUCCUAGUCCAAAAGCUAGAAUAAACACACAAGACGAGAAGACCCUGUGGAGCUUAAAACACACCAGCCGCCCGUAACCCGCGCAGUGGCACUUGUUUUUAGUUGGGGCAACUACGGAAUAAACAAAACUUCCACGAACCGGACUAACCAUCGUCACAGGCAUACAUGCCAAAAACUGACCCAGUACCACUGACUAACGAACCAAGUUACCCCAGGGAUAACAGCGCCAUCCCCUUAAAGAGUCCAUAUCGCCAAGGGGGCUUACGACCUCGAUGUUGGAUCAGGACCCCCCGGCGGCGCAGCCGCUGCCAACGGUUCGUUUGUUCAACGAUUAAAGUCCUACGUGAUCUGAGU